GUAGAAAUACUGUUCUCUCUAGGAUAGUAGUGAUCUUUAGAUUCUCUUUUUUAAUGUGAUUUUACAAAUAUCAAAACAUCUUGGCGGACCUAAGAGAAAUAUAUUCUAUGUUUCGCUUUAUCGAUUUAGUUUUGCUAUUGUCAUUCUUUAGCUAUUGCCAGUCUGUAGGUGACCCGAAAUUGAAACUGUUGAGAGGUUCAAUAACAGUUCUUUCUGGGACUACGUGGGAUCUAUAUAUUUCAUUUGCUUGUCAUUUACUAAUCUAUA